rnacentral:rRNA from 1 species
GACGAACGCUGGCGGCGUGCUUAACACAUGCAAGUCGAACGGUGAAGCGCCUUCCUUUUUGGUGGGUGUGGAUGAGUGGCGAACGGGUGAGUAACACGUGAGUAACCUGCCCCCUUCUUCUGGAUAACCGCAUGAAAGUGUGGCUAAUACGGAAUAUUCUGGGUCUGUCGCAUGAUGGGUCUGGGAAAGAUAUUGUUUCGGUGGGGGAUGGGCUCGCGGCCUAUCAGCUUGUUGGUGGGGUGAUGGCCUACCAAGGCGGUGACGGGUAGCCGGCCUGAGAGGGUGGACGGUCACACUGGGACUGAGACACGGCCCAGACUCCUACGGGAGGCAGCAGUGGGGAAUAUUGCACAAUGGGCGCAAGCCUGAUGCAGCGACGCCGCGUGAGGGAUGGAGGCCUGCGGGUUGUGAACCUCUUUCGCCAGUGAAGCAGGCCUGCCUCGUUUGUGGGUGGGUUGACGGUAGCUGGAUAAGAAGCGCCGGCUAACUACGUG